GCUGAAAUUAAGUCAUACCCCCAUCAAAAAACAAUGUGAGCUAAAUUUAUAGUCGACGUGGUGCCCUUAAUAAAUAGUAUUAAUCAAUUUCUGGAGACUAUGAAUCAUGCAAUCGCGGGAUAUGCGUACUGCUUUCGGCACAUAAUCCAACUCCCUAAUUAACUUCAUCACGUAAGGUACAUGUAUGUAUGUCUUCUCUUCUCAUGUCUUUUACGUUAAAACCAGAAGACAUAAAGUAUCUAGUUCAUGGUUGGGGAUUCGACUUUGCACUCAUUGCAAGCAAAUCCUCCACAUUAGAGGACGAUAAUAGUCAAUCCUCCACAUUAGAAGACAAUAGUACUUGAAAUAGGUGUUUGUGAGUAGCCAAAGGUCCAUUCC